UCCUUACAGUGAAGGUUUAUGUGUCUAGACUCAGUGCAGGCGAUCCCCGUUUCGGCAACAUCCAGAGCAUCACAGUCUGGGGCCAGUUGGAUGCGCACCUCCCUUGAUGGGGCACACGUCUCCUUUGAUGGAACAUGCGCCUCCUCUCUCUCUCAGGGUGCCAGCCUCCGCCACGUGAGGUCACGGGGCACCUUCCAGCCUGGGUGACCUACGGCUGGCAGCCUCGGCCCCAAACAGAGCACGUGAGCCCUGUCUCCGUCACGGCCAACCCUGCGGCUGGGAAGGCAUGAUGAGGACACAGCGCUCAAGCUCGCUGCUCCUGGGGCUCCCUUCCAAGGAUCUCUGGGCAGCUGGAGCCCAGAUGCCCCAAGGAGCAAACGUUCAGGGGUGGAGAUGCAGGCCUCUGCAACAGAGCAGCGGGAAAACAGUUUGGGGGAGCUGCACGUCCCAUCAGGAAGAGCGAGUCACAUGGCCCCGGUGGCCCUGGGUUGAUCCUGGAGCCACCGCUCAUCAGCGCCCCAGCCUCAGGUAAAUCACAGCCGUGGUCUCUCCAUCUGGCGAGCGAACGGGCUGCAGCGGCUUGGACCAGAGUGAAACAACAGCAUGAGCCCGGAGGCCCCUCUAGCUCUAGAACCAUACAUGUUCUAGUUGAAUCCAGUAACAAAUACACAUAAAUCUUCCGCCCUGGUCUGUACACAGUAGGCAUGCAGUGAAUGGAGGCCCUCAGGGCAGAAGCGCAGAAUCGCCCAGUGGCAGAGCAGCUGGGCGCUGAGUCAGAUGCUCACACACUCACUCACUCACCUGUAUU